AUCAACUUUCGAUUGGUAGGAUAGAGGCCUACCAUGGUUUCAACGGGUAACGGGGAAUAAGGGUUCGAUUCCGGAGAGGGAGCCUGAGAAACGGCUACCACAUCCAAGGAAGGCAGCAGGCGCGCAAAUUACCCAAUCCCGACACGGGGAGGUAGUGACAAUAAAUAACAAUAUAGGGCUCUUUCGGGUCUUAUAAUUGGAAUGAGUACAAUUUAAACCCCUUAACGAGGAACAAUUGGAGGGCAAGUCUGGUGCCAGCAGCCGCGGUAAUUCCAGCUCCAAUAGCGUAUAUUAAAGUUGUUGCAGUUAAAAAGCUCGUAGUUGAAUUUCGGGACCAAUAUGUCGGUCGUGCCUCGGUACGUACUGGCAUCGUUGGUUUCUCCCUUCUGACGAACCAUGAUGUCAUUUAUUUGGUGUCGUGGGGAAUCAGGACUGUUACUUUGAAAAAAUUAGAGUGUUUAAAGCAGGCUCACGCUUGAAUACAUUAGCAUGGAAUAAUGAAAUAGGACGUUUGAUUCUAUUUUGUUGGUUUCUAGGAUUGACGUAAUGAUUAAUAGGGAUAGUUGGGGGCAUUAGUAUUCAAUUGUCAGAGGUGAAAUUCUUGGAUUUAUUGAAGACUAACUACUGCGAAAGCAUUUGCCAAGGAUGUUUUCAUUAAUCAAGAACGAAAGUUAGGGGAUCGAAGACGAUCAGAUACCGUCGUAGCCUUAACCAUAAACUAUGCCGACUAGGGAUCGGAUGAUGUUAAUUUUUUAAUGACUCAUUCGGCGCCUUACGGGAAACCAAAGUGUUUGGGUUC
rnacentral:rRNA from 1 species